CUUGAUCGAUCCCAGCCACAGCGGCUGGUCUUCGGCGCGGUUCUGACCGUAUGUGGCGAGGAGCGCCUGGGCCUC
rnacentral:antisense_RNA from 1 species